rnacentral:sRNA from 1 species
AUUCAUGGGGCAUUUGUCACACUGUUGGGGCUUCCACGUUUAGUUUUCUCUCCCCAUAAGCUAGCAAUUCCUUGAGAGAGGACCCCACGUUACUUGCCUUUAUCCCCGCACAGAGCACUUCACAGGCUGUGCAAGGGCUGUGUCUGGCUGUCCCUGAUAAAACUGUGAGAUGGUGUGCAGUGUCGGAGCAUGAGGCCACUAAGUGCCAGAGUUUCCGCGACCAUAUGAAAAGCGUCAUUCCAUCCGAUGGUCCCAGUGUUGCUUGUGUGAAGAAAGCCUCCUACCUUGAUUGCAUCAGGGCCAUUGCGGCAAACGAAGCGGAUGCUGUGACACUGGAUGCAGGUUUGGUGUAUGACGCUUACCUGGCUCCCAAUAACCUGAAGCCUGUGGUGGCAGAGUUCUACGGGUCAAAAGAGGAUCCACAGACUUUCUAUUAUGCUGUUGCUGUGGUGAAGAAGGACAGUGGCUUCCAGAUGAACCAGCUUCGAGGCAAGAAGUCCUGCCACACGGGUCUAGGCAGGUCCGCUGGGUGGAACAUCCCCAUAGGCUUACUUUACUGUGACUUACCUGAGCCACGUAAACCUCU